rnacentral:rRNA from 1 species
CUACGGGCGGCUGCAGGCGCGAAACCUUUACAAUGCACGUAAGUGUGAUAAGGGAAUCCUAAGUGCUCAUACUUUGUAUGGGCUUUUGCCAAGAGCAAAAAUCUUGGCGAAUAAGUGGUGGGUAAGACUGGUGCCAGCCGCCGCGGUAACACCAGCGCCACAAGUGGGGACCAUUUUUAUUUGGCCUAAAGCGUCCGUAGCUUGUUUGAACAGUCUUUUGUGAAAUUGUUAAGCUUAACUUAACAGUAUGCAAAAGAUACUAUCGAACUUGGAACUGGGAGGAGUUAGAAGUAUUCCAAGGGGAGCGGUAAAAUGCUAUAAUCCUUGGAGGACUGCCUGUGGCGAAAGCGUCUAACUAGAACAGAUUCGACGGUGAGGGACGAAAGCUGGGGGAGCGAUCCGGAUUAGAUACCCUCGUACUC